ensembl:lncRNA
CUGACAUCAUUUAACUUCUUCUUCUUUCUUUCGCUUCUUCUUGUCAAAAUAUUCAUCCGAGCUGGUGCGUUCACACGGAGUGUUUAGAUUUUGGAGACAUUUUUACAACCUAUUUGCAUUUUUAUGGAAAACUGUUCCAUCUGUUUAUUUCCCUGCUGCAGCCAGCGGGGACGGCUGGCAGUGGGGUUGGGAGCGCCCGGCCGCGGGCACGGCAGCACCAGGACUCGUUUCCUAUCUGCUCUCAGGUCCCACUGCCAAACCAAUCCCCCCAUACACCCACCCUGCAGAUUCCGGGACCCAAACUUGGCCGAUCGUUGGCAAAGUCCAGACCUUGGCUUAUUCCUUUGGGCAGCGGACACAGCUGAACGCAAUCAGCGCUGCUUUCAGGAGCUCCUCCUGCCUCCAGGAUACAAACAGCAGCCGGGUGUCCUCAGACGUGGGAUGUCUCCCCAGCACCACCACGUUGACGGUGCCUUCCAAAGCUAUAGCCCGGAGUGCCCUUGUGCUGGGAGCAAGCUCUGCAGCGCCAGCUGGACAGACAGCCAAGGACAGCCAUCCUCCCCAUCUCCUUGUGGUCUCUGUCCAGGACAGGUCAAGCUCAGGCGCUAAAACCGGAACGGCUGUGAUUGUGCUAUUUGAUAAAGGCAGAUGCCCAUAGAGCCUCUGCAAGUGGAUGAUGCUUUUGGGAUCUCCAAAGUGCACACAGAUGCACACAGGAAAUACAGCGUGCGAGGCAUGAGAUACGGGACGUGAAAGAUGGAACACAGGAUGCAGAAUGUAGGAUGCAGAAUAUGGGAUGAGGAAGAUGGGAUGUGCAACACAGGAGGCGCAGUUGCUU